rnacentral:rRNA from 1 species
CGGCUGCGUAACACGUUGGAAUCUGCCCCAAACUCAGGGAUAACCCCGCGAAAGCGGGGGUAAUACCGGAUGGUCUCCGCCUCGUGCGGAGUAAAGAUUUAUCGGUUUGGGAGGAGCCUGCGGCCUAUCAGCUAGUUGGUGAGGUAAUGGCUCACCAAGGCAAUGACGGGUAGCUGGUCUGAGAGGACGACCAGCCAGAAUGGAACUGAGACACGGUCCAUACUCC